rnacentral:rRNA from 1 species
UACGAAGGGGGCUAGCGUUGCUCGGAAUCACUGGGCGUAAAGCGCACGUAGGCGGCUUUCUAAGUCGGUGGUGAAAUCCUGGAGCUCAACUCCAGAACUGCCUCCGAUACUGGAGAGCUCGAGUCCGGGAGAGGUGAGUGGAACUGCGGGUGUAGAGGUGAAAUUCGUAGAUAUUCGCAAGAACACCAGUGGCGAAGGCGGCUCCCUGGCCCGGUACUGACGCUGAGGUGCGAAAGCGUGGGGAGCAAACAGG